rnacentral:pre_miRNA from 1 species
AAUGGGAUAGUUGGGUGAUAUGGUGUUUCCAUUCCUAGUUUUUUGAAGAAUCUCCAUACUGCUUUCCAAAGUGAUUGUACUAGUCUGCAGUCCCACCAACAAU